rnacentral:rRNA from 1 species
GACGAACGCUGGCGGCGCGCCUAACACAUGCAAGUCGAACGAGAGAUGAGGAGCUUGCUCUUCAAAUCGAGUGGCGAACGGGUGAGUAACGCGUGGGUAACCUGCCCCAGACCGGGGGAUAACAGUCGGAAACGACUGCUAAUACCGCAUAAGCGCACAGUGCCGCAUGGCACAGUGUGAAAAACUCCGGUGGUCUGGGAUGGACCCGCGUCCGAUUAGCUAGUUGGCAGGGCAACGGCCUACCAAGGCGACGAUCAGUAGCCGACCUGAGAGGGUGACCGGCCACAUUGGGACUGAGACACGGCCCAGACUCCUACGGGAGGCAGCAGUGGGGAAUAUUGCACAAUGGAGGAAACUACUGAUGCAGCGACGCCGCGUGAGCGAAGAAGUAUUUCGGUAUGUAAAGCUCUGUCAGCAGGGAAGAUAAUGACGGUACCUGACCAAGAAGCCCGGCUAACUACGUGCCAGCAGCCGCGGU